UACGUAGGGGGCAAGCGUUGUCCGGAAUCAUUGGGCGUAAAGGGCUCGUAGGCGGUUUGUCGCGUCGGGAGUGAAAACCUACAGCUUAACUGUGGGCUUGCUUUCGAUACGGGCAGACUUGAGGCAUGCAGGGGAGAACGGAAUUCCUGGUGUAGCGGUGAAAUGCGCAGAUAUCAGGAGGAACACCGGUGGCGAAGGCGGUUCUCGUGGGCAUGUUCUGACGCUGAGGAGCGAAAGUGUGGGGAGCGAACAGG
rnacentral:rRNA from 1 species